UACGGAGGGUGCAAGCGUUAUCCGGAUUCACUGGGUUUAAAGGGUGCGUAGGCGGGUUGGUAAGUCCGUGGUGAAAUCUCCAAGCUUAACUUGGAAACUGCCGUGGAUACUAUCAAUCUUGAAUGUCGUGGAGGUAAGCGGAAUAUGUCAUGUAGCGGUGAAAUGCUUAGAGAUGACAUAGAACACCAAUUGCGUAGGCAGCUUACUACACGAAUAUUGACGCUGAGGCACGAAAGCGUGGG
rnacentral:rRNA from 1 species